rnacentral:rRNA from 1 species
GUUAUAUGGUCAAGUGAAGAAGCGCAUACGGUGGAUGCCUUGGCAGUCAGAGGCGAUGAAAGACGUGGUAGCCUGCGAAAAGCUUCGGGGAGUCGGCAAACAGACUUUGAUCCGGAGAUGUCUGAAUGGGGGAACCCAGCCAUCAUAAGAUGGUUAUCUUGUACUGAAUACAUAGGUGCAAGAGGCGAACCAGGGGAACUGAAACAUCUAAGUACCCUGAGGAAAAGAAAUCAACCGAGAUUCCCUUAGUAGUGGCGAGCGAACGGGGACUAGCCCUUAAGUGGCUUUGAGAUUAGCGGAACGCUCUGGAAAGUGCGGCCAUAGUGGGUGAUAGCCCUGUACGCGAAAAUCUCUUAGUCAUGAAAUCGAGUAGGACGGAGCACGAGAAACUUUGUCUGAAUAUGGGGGGACCAUCCUCCAAGGCUAAAUACUACUGACUGACCGAUAGUGAACUAGUACCGUGAGGGAAAGGCGAAAAGAACCCCGGAGAGGGGAGUGAAAUAGAUCCUGAAACCGUAUGCGUACAAGCAGUGGGAGCCCACUUUGUUGGGUGACUGCGUACCUUUUGUAUAAUGGGUCAGCGACUUAUUUUCAGUGGCGAGCUUAACCGAAUAGGGGAGGCGUAGCGAAAGCGAGUCUUAAUAGGGCGUCUAGUCGCUGGGAAUAGACCCGAAACCGGGCGAUCUAUCCAUGGGCAGGUUGAAGGUUGGGUAACACUAACUGGAGGACCGAACCGACUACCGUUGAAAAGUUAGCGGAUGACCUGUGGAUCGGAGUGAAAGGCUAAUCAAGCUCGGAGAUAGCUGGUUCUCCUCGAAAGCUAUUUAGGUAGCGCCUCAUGUAUCACUGUAGGGGGUAGAGCACUGUUUCGGCUAGGGGGUCAUCCCGACUUACCAAACCGAUGCAAACUCCGAAUACCUACAAGUGCCGAGCAUGGGAGACACACGGCGGGUGCUAACGUCCGUCGUGAAAAGGGAAACAACCCAGACCGUCAGCUAAGGUCCCAAAGUUAUGGUUAAGUGGGAAACGAUGUGGGAAGGCUUAGACAGCUAGGAGGUUGGCUUAGAAGCAGCCACCCUUUAAAGAAAGCGUAAUAGCUCACUAGUCGAGUCGGCCUGCGCGGAAGAUGUAACGGGGCUCAAACCAUACACCGAAGCUACGGGUAUCACGUAAGUGAUGCGGUAGAGGAGCGUUCUGUAAGCCUGUGAAGGUGAGUUGAGAAGCUUGCUGGAGGUAUCAGAAGUGCGAAUGCUGACAUGAGUAACGAUAAUGGGUGUGAAAAACACCCACGCCGAAAGACCAAGGUUUCCUGCGCAACGUUAAUCGACGCAGGGUUAGUCGGUCCCUAAGGCGAGGCUGAAAAGCGUAGUCGAUGGAAAACAGGUUAAUAUUCCUGUACUUCUGGUUAUUGCGAUGGAGGGACGGAGAAGGCUAGGCCAGCUUGGCGUUGGUUGUCCAAGUUUAAGGUGGUAGGCUGGAAUCUUAGGUAAAUCCGGGAUUC